rnacentral:rRNA from 1 species
GACGAACGCAGGCGGCGUGCUCAACACACUCAAGUCGAACGGAGUGGCGAACGGGUGAGUAACACGUCGUUGUUCUCCCUUGCACUUCGGGAUCAGCUUGGGACACUGGGUCUAAUAUCGGAUAGUGCAAGAUGAGCUCGCGGCCUAUCAGCUUGUUGGUGGGGUAAUUGCCUACCAAGGCGUCGACGGGUAGCCGGCCUGAGAGGGUGUACGGGCACCUUGGGACUGAGAUACGGCCCAGACUCCUACGGGAGGCAGCAGUGGGGAAUAUUGCACAAUGGGCGGAAGCCUGAUGCAGCGACGCCGCGUGGGGGAUGAAGGCCUUCGGGUUGUAAACUCCUUUCGACAGGGACGCGGUACCUGUAUAAGAAGCACCGGCUAACUACGUGCCAGCAGCCGCGGUAAUUC